rnacentral:lncRNA from 1 species
GCUCGCGAGUAGCUGGGACUACAGGCUCCAGCCACCACGCCUGGCUAAUUUUUUGUAUUUUUAGUAGAGACGGGGUUUCACCGUGUUAGCCAGGAUGGUCUCUAUCUCCUGACCUCAUGAUCCACCCGCCUCGGCCUCCUAAAGUGCUGGGAUUACAGGCGUGAGCCACGGCGCCCCGCCUGCUUUUCUCCUUUCUGGCUACAUUGUGAAUGUGAGAGCUGGAGCGUGAAUACGCACCUUAGACUAUGAGUGGAAACCAUGUGCUAAGGAUGAUAGAGCCAAAGAUAAGAGCCCGGUUUCCUGGCAUCGUGGGACGGCGCGUCACCUCUAGAGAGACUACUACCUCCCUAGAGAGAUUUUUAACGAUGCUGUGACUACAACCCUCUGUUUAGUUAGUGGAAUUGAGAACAAGGCCCAGGUGGAUGAUUGAGGACUAAACCCCAAACUUGCCUUGGAUCACUCCACUGUUUCAGGACAUCAAGGGCUCCAGACAUUGAGAAAUUUUCCCUUUAAGUUGCGAUGGGAAUCCAGAAAACGCCAUAUGGACCCCUCUAUGCUGUGAAAUACUUCAGUACUCAGGAGAAGUCACGUUCUGGUUGCUGCAAGCGUGUGAUACCCUGUCAUUAAAAUAAGAAAUAGAUUGUUAU